UGCCUCAGUAACGGCGAGUGAAGCGGCAACAGCUCAAAUUUGAAAUCUGGCCUCACGGUCCGAGUUGUAAUUUGUAGAGGAUGCUUUUGGCGAGGUGCUUUCCGAGUUCCCUGGAACGGGACGCCAUAGAGGGUGAGAGCCCCGUACGGUAAGACCACCGAGCCUCUGUAAAGCUCCUUCGACGAGUCGAGUAGUUUGGGAAUGCUGCUCUAAAUGGGAGGUGUACGUCUUCUAAAGCUAAAUACCGGCCAGAGACCGAUAGCGCACAAGUAGAGUGAUCGAAAGAUGAAAAGCACUUUGAAAAGAGGGUUAAAAAGUACGUGAAAUUGUUGAAAGGGAAGCAUUCAUGACCAGACUUGGGCUUGGUUGAACAUCCGGCGUUCUCGCCGGUGCACUCUGCCAGUCCAGGCCAGCAUCAGUUUGCCCCGGGGGACAAAGGCGGUGGGAAUGUGGCUCCCUUCGGGGAGUGUUAUAGCCCGCCGUGUAAUGCCCUGGGGCGGACUGAGGAACGCGCUUCGGCACGGAUGCUGGCGUAAUGGUCAUCAAUGACCCGUCUUGAAACACGGACCAAGGAGUCGUCUUCGUAUGCGAGUGUUCGGGUGUCAAACCCCUACGCGUAAUGAAAGUGAACGUAGGUGAGAGCUUCGGCGCAUCACCGACCGAUCCUGAUGUUCUCGGAUGGAUUUGAGUAAGAGCAUA
rnacentral:rRNA from 1 species